rnacentral:rRNA from 1 species
AUUGAACGCUGGCGGCAGGCUUAACACAUGCAAGUCGAGCGAGCGGCGGACGGGUGAGUCAUGUCUGGGAAACUGCCUGAUGGAGGGGGAUAACUACUGGAAACGGUAGCUAAUACCGCAUACCAUCAGAUGUGCCCAGAUGGGAGUAGCUAGUAGGUGGGGUAUUGGCUCACCUAGUCGACGAUCCCUAGCCGGUCUGCGAGGGUGACCAGCCACACUGGAACUGAGACACGGUCCAGACUCCUACGGGAGGCAGCAGUGGGGAAUAUUGCACAAUGGGCGCAAGCCUGAUGCAGCCAUGCCGCGUGUGUGAAGAAGGCCUUCGGGUUGUAAAGCUCUUUCAGCGAGGAGGCGUUACUCGCAGAGGAAGCACCGGCUAACUCCGUGCCAGCAGCCGCGGUAAUAC